UUCGCCCCUAACUGAAAAAAAAUUCAUGUUGAAUGCGAAUUGAUUGGUCUUACUGAAAAAUGUGUAAACAAUUCCUUUUGAAAUCACUGUAUACCCAGAAUACUAACUUAUUUGUUUUCAAUUUUAGUUAUAUUAUAUGGGAUCUGGAUAACAUUUGUGCAGCACUAUAUAUUAGUAUUAUCACGUCACUUUUGAAUAUAAACCAAUUUUCCUUAUGCUACAUACGGUGAUAGAGGUUAUGUAAGAAAUCAGAGAAUGAAUCUGAUAAACAUAUUCAGGAAGAUAUGGUCAACAUUUUAUUGUUUGUUGUAAAGUAACAAUACUAGCUCGGAUACACAUAAGUCGUACCGAUUCAGUAACAAUAUGGACAAAUUUCUUCAGAUAAUUUGCCGAAGCGAAAAGGAAAAGAUUCAGGAAACAAAACUUUCCACUUCCCGAUUUAAUCGUUGGCCUGCAAUAACUUUUUUCACAAAAAAAUCCGUAAAUUAAAGUGCUUGGUGAACAUGGAUCUUAGAUAGACUAUAGCGGUUAAAUUUUAAGAAUGCUUAAAUUGUUGUUGUGGCUAGAAACAUGCCUGCAGUAAUUUGGAGGAGUGCUACCAAGUUGAUAGUUCUUGCCCGUUGAAAAAAUCGGGUUCAUACCGGUUAUGUUAACCCGACUGUCGUGGGAUUGUUAACUAACUUCCUUUGUAUCUGAAAUAUAUGCCGAAUUAUUGACGUGGACACCGAAAGCUUAACAUCGUGCCGACUGCAUACAACACACAAUUCAAAAUGGUUGCCUCCUGCUUAGUUUAUUGUUUUUAGUUUUCUCCACUCAACAAACUCUACAAAAAGGUAUGUAUUUGCAUUAAUGACGUUAACUGCGAAACGGAGGGUUUGAGAUGUCAAGUUAUUACUGUUGCACUGUAAACAAAUCCAUUAAUUGUGUAAAUAUAAAUAAAAAAAAUGUUGAAUAAAUUGAAAA